rnacentral:rRNA from 1 species
CCAAUAGCGUAUAUUAAAGUUGUUGCAGUUAAAAAGCUCGUAGUUGAAUUUCGGGGUUAGUAGGUUGGUCAUGCCUCUGGUAUGUACUGGUCUCACUGAUUCCUCCUUCCUGAUGAGCCGUAAUGCCAUUAAUUUGGUGUUGCGGGGAAUUUGGACUGUUACUUUGAAAAAAUUAGAGUGUUUAAAGCAAGCUUAACGCUUGAAUACAUUAGCAUGGAAUAAUGAAAUAGGACGUUCGAUCCUAUUUUGUUGGUUUCUAGGAUUGACGUAAUGAUUAAUAGGGAUAGUUGGGGGCAUUAGUAUUCAAUUGUCAGAGGUGAAAUUCUUGGAUUUAUUGAAGACUAACUACUGCGAAAGCAUUUGCCAAGGAUGUUUUCAUUAAUCAAGAACGAAAGUUAGGGGAUCGAAGACGAUCAGAUACCGUCGUAGUCUUAACCAUAAACUAUGCCGACUAGGGAUCGGAUGAUGUUAAUUUUUUAAUGACUCAUUCGGCGCCUUACG